rnacentral:tRNA from 1 species
UGGGCUAUCGCCAAGCGGCAAGGCACAGGAUUUUGAUUCCUGUAUUCCGGGUUCGAAUCCCGGUAGCCUAA